rnacentral:rRNA from 1 species
UGCAGUCGAGCGAAUGGAUUAAGAGCUUGCUCUUAUGAAGUUAGCGGCGGACGGGUGAGUAACACGUGGGUAACCUGCCCAUAAGACUGGGAUAACUCCGGGAAACCGGGGCUAAUACCGGAUAACAUUUUGAACCGCAUGGUUCGAAAUUGAAAGGCGGCUUCGGCUGUCACUUAUGGAUGGACCCGCGUCGCAUUAGCUAGUUGGUGAGGUAACGGCUCACCAAGGCAACGAUGCGUAGCCGACCUGAGAGGGUGAUCGGCCACACUGGGACUGAGACACGGCCCAGACUCCUACGGGAGGCAGCAGUAGGGAAUCUUCCGCAAUGGACGAAAGUCUGACGGAGCAACGCCGCGUGAGUGAUGAAGGCUUUCGGGUCGUAAAACUCUGUUGUUAGGGAAGAACAAGUGCUAGUUGAAUAAGCUGGCACCUUGACGGUACCUAACCAGAAAGCCACGGCUAACUACGUGCCAGCAGCCGCGGUAAUACGUAGGUGGCAAGCGUUAUCCGGAAUUAUUGGGCGUAAAGCGCGCGCAGGUGGUUUCUUAAGUCUGAUGUGAAAGCCCACGGCUCAACCGUGGAGGGUCAUUGGAAACUGGGAGACUUGAGUGCAGAAAAGGAAAGUGGAAUUCCAUGUGUAGCGGUGAAAUGCGUAGAGAUAUGGAGGAACACCAGUGGCGAAGGCGACUUUCUGGUCUGUAACUGACACUGAGGCGCGAAAGCGU